GACGAACGCUGGCGGCGUGCCUAAUACAUGCAAGUUGAGCGCUGAAGGUUGGUACUUGUACCAACUGGAUGAGCAGCGAACGGGUGAGUAACGCGUGGGGAAUCUGCCUUUGAGCGGGGGACAACAUUUGGAAACGAAUGCUAAUACCGCAUAAAAACUUUAAACACAAGUUUUAAGUUUGAAAGAUGCAAUUGCAUCACUCAAAGAUGAUCCCGCGUUGUAUUAGCUAGUUGGUGAGGUAAAGGCUCACCAGGGCGAUGAUACAUAGCCGACCUGAGAGGGUGAUCGGCCACAUUGGGACUGAGACGCGGCCCAAACUCCUACGGGAGGCAGCAGUAGGGAAUCUUCGGCAAUGGACGAAAGUCUGACCGAGCAACGCCGCGUGAGUGAAGAAGGUUUUCGGAUCGUAAAACUCUGUUGGUAGAGAAGAACGUUGGUGAGAGUGGAAAGCUCAUCAAGUGACGGUAACUACCCAGAAAGGGACGGCUAACUACGUG
rnacentral:rRNA from 1 species